rnacentral:misc_RNA from 1 species
GCAGCACGGGGGGGUAACCCUCUGGUGGCGAUUUUACAACGGGUGAGUAAUGCGUCGGAACGUACCCGGGAGUGGGGGAUAACUUAGCGAAAGCUAGGCUAAUACCGCAUAUUCUCUGAGGAGGAAAGUGGGGGACCGCGAGGCCUCACGCUUACGGAGCGGCCGAUGUCUGAUUAGCUAGUUGGUGGGGUAAAGGCCUACCAAGGCGACGAUCAGUAGCUGGUCUGAGAGGACGACCAGCCACACUGGGACUGAGACACGGCCCAGACUCCUACGGGAGGCAGCAGUGGG